UCAGGUGAAGUAAGUGUUUCUUCUUCGUGGGAGUAAAUGGCCAAAGAGAAGGAGUUGCUGCUUGACUUUUCGCGCCCUUACGUGUAAGACAUCCAUUGGUCAUUUGCUGACUGGAUGGACACGUAUGUGUAUGUGUAAUACACGCGCACAUGGUCAAUGGUCAAAUGUGUUUAUUAAUUAUGGAAAAAAUGAGUUCGAGUGUUGAAAUGGGAAAGUUAUAAGUUUAUGUAUUGGCUUUAAAAAACCCGACAAGUUUAAGUGGCCAGGAAGCCAUUUCGCCUUUAUUUUUCAAAUAUGAUUUCUUUUGCCAUCCAGGGGUUCCUUUAUUUGGAUUCUGUCAGUUGUAUUUCUCUAAGUUCUUUGGGCCUUGACCAACCGUUAUCAAUAUGCAAGUUAUAUUGAUAAAAUGGAAGAAAGACUUAGUAUCAGUGAAAUUACACCGCUUACUACAGAAUGGACUUGCAAAGUCAAGGCUGUAGACAAAUUUCGGUCGCGAGACAACAGAGAUCAGCGAGUUCGUUUUCAGAUAAUAAUUGUCCAGGAUAUAAACGAGGAACAAAUUUGUGUGAUACUCUAUGGUGACGACAUUAGAUGAUGUGAUAACUUGUUCGAACUUUUUGAGACGUAUCUGAUUUCAACUGCCAAGGUUAGAAAUCCGCAACCUUAUUCAUUGCAUAUCGGCCAGUUUGAAUUGAUCGUCGACAGAUUCACUAUUGUGGAGUCUAUCCCAAAAAAUAAUGAAAA